AGUGAACGCUGGCGGUAGGCCUAACACAUGCAAGUCGUACGGCAGCACAGUAAGAGCUUGCUCUUACGGGUGGCGAGUGGCGGACGGGUGAGGAAUACAUCGGAAUCUACUUUUUCGUGGGGGAUAACGUAGGGAAACUUACGCUAAUACCGCAUACGACCUACGGGUGAAAGCAGGGGAUCUUCGGACCUUGCGCGAUUGAAUGAGCCGAUGUCGGAUUAGCUAGUUGGCGGGGUAAAGGCCCACCAAGGCGACGAUCCGUAGCUGGUCUGAGAGGAUGAUCAGCCACACUGGAACUGAGACACGGUCCAGACUCCUACGGGAGGCAGCAGUGGGGAAUAUUGGACAAUGGGCGCAAGCCUGAUCCAGCCAUACCGCGUGGGUGAAGAAGGCCUUCGGGUUGUAAAGCCCUUUUGUUGGGAAAGAAAAGCAGCAGGUUAAUACCCCGCUGUUCUGACGGUACCCAAAGAAUAAGCACCGGCUAACUUCGU
rnacentral:rRNA from 1 species